GCAUAUAACCUCGGGAGCUUAGGUGAACUUUGCUGAGAGGAAAGCUAUUCCGCUUUCGACCGAUAACCUGAUCUGGAUAAUGCCAGCGGAGGGACGCCCUUAACAUCAUUU
rnacentral:ncRNA from 1 species